GACGAACGCUGGCGGCGUGCUUAACACAUGCAAGUCGAACGGAAAGGCCCUGCUUUUGUGGGGUGCUCGAGUGGCGAACGGGUGAGUAACACGUGAGUAACCUGCCCUUGACUUUGGGAUAACUUCAGGAAACUGGGGCUAAUACCGGAUAGGAGCUCCUGCUGCAUGGUGGGGGUUGGAAAGUUUCGGCGGUUGGGGAUGGACUCGCGGCUUAUCGGCUUGUUGGUGGGGUAGUGGCUUACCAAGGCUUUGACGGGUAGCCGGCCUGAGAGGGUGACCGGCCACAUUGGGACUGAGAUACGGCCCAGACUCCUACGGGAGGCAGCAGUGGGGAAUAUUGCACAAUGGGCGGAAGCCUGAUGCAGCAACGCCGCGUGCGGGAUGAAGGCCUUCGGGUUGUAAACCGCUUUCGCCUGUGACGAAGCGUGAGUGACGGUAAUGGGUAAAGAAGCACCGGCUAACUACGUG
rnacentral:rRNA from 1 species